GACGAACGCUGGCGGCGUGCCUAAUACAUGCAAGUAGAACGCUGAAGGAGGAGCUUGCUUCUCUGGAUGAGUUGCGAACGGGUGAGUAACGCGUAGGUAACCUGCCUGGUAGCGGGGGAUAACUAUUGGAAACGAUAGCUAAUACCGCAUAAGAGUAGAUGUUGCAUGACAUUUGCUUAAAAGGUGCAAUUGCAUCACUACCAGAUGGACCUGCGUUGUAUUAGCUAGUUGGUGGGGUAACGGCUCACCAAGGCGACGAUACAUAGCCGACCUGGGAGGGGGGACGGCCCACCUGGGACUGGGACAACGCCCAAGCUCCUUAGGGGGGGAGCAGGAGGGAAACUUCGGCAAAGGGCGGAAGGCUGACCGAGGAAAGCCGCGGGAGGGGAGGAGGGUUUCGGAUCGUAAAGCUCUGUUGUAAGAGAAGAACGAGUGUGAGAGUGGAAAGUUCACACUGUGACGGUAUCUUACCAGAAAGGGACGGCUAACUACGUG
rnacentral:rRNA from 1 species